rnacentral:rRNA from 1 species
GUGGGGAAUCUUGCGCAAUGGACGAAAGUCUGACGCAGCGACGCCGCGUGGGUGAUGAAGGCCUUCGGGUUGUAAAGCCCUGUGGGGAGAGAAGAAUUAGUACUGGCUAACAUCCAGUAUGAUGACGGUAUCUCCUUAGCAAGCACCGGCUAACUCUGUGCCAGCAGCCGCGGUAAGACAGAGGGUGCAAACGUUGUUCGGAAUUACUGGGCGUAAAGCGUGUGUAGGCGGCCACGUAAGUCGGAUGUGAAAGCCCCGGGCUCAACCCGGGAAGUGCACUCGAUACUGCGUGGCUUGAGUACUGGAGAGGUUGGUGGAAUUCUCGGUGUAGAGGUGAAAUUCGUAGAUAUCGAGAGGAACACCGGUGGCGAAGGCGGCCAACUGGACAGAUACUGACGCUGAGACACGAAAGCGUGGGGAGCAAACAGGAUUAGAAACCCUAGUAGUCC